CCGAAUGGGGAAACCCAGUGUGAUUCGUCACACUAUCAUUAACUGAAUCCAUAGGUUAAUGAGGCGAACCGGGGGAACUGAAACAUCUAAGUACCCCGAGGAAAAGAAAUCAACCGAGAUUCCCCCAGUAGCGGCGAGCGAACGGGGAGGAGCCCAGAGCCUGAAUCAGCAUGUGUGUUAGUGGAAGCGUCUGGAAAGGCGCGCGAUACAGGGUGACAGCCCCGUACACAAAAGCGCAUGUGCUGUGAGCUCGAUGAGUAGGGCGGGACACGUGGUAUCCUGUCUGAAUAUGGGGGGACCAUCCUCCAAGGCUAAAUACUCCUGACUGACCGAUAGUGAACCAGUACCGUGAGGGAAAGGCGAAAAGAACCCCGGCGAGGGGAGUGAAAAAGAACCUGAAACCGUGUACGUACAAGCAGUGGGAGCACCCUUCGGGGUGUGACUGCGUACCUUUUGUAUAAUGGGUCAGCGACUUAUAUUCUGUAGCAAGGUUAACCGUAUAGGGGAGCCGGAGGGAAACCGAGUCUUAAUUGGGCGUUAAGUUGCAGGGUAUAGACCCGAAACCCGGUGAUCUAGCCAUGGGCAGGUUGAAGGUUGGGUAACACUAACUGGAGGACCGAACCGACUAAUGUUGAAAAAUUAGCGGAUGACCUGUGGCUGGGGGUGAAAGGCCAAUCAAACCGGGAGAUAGCUGGUUCUCCCCGAAAGCUAUUUAGGUAGCGCCUCGUGAAUUCAUCUCCGGGGGUAGAGCACUGUUUCGGCUAGGGGGCCAUCCCGGCUUACCAACCCGAUGCAAACUGCGAAUACCGGAGAAUGUUAUCACGGGAGACACACGGCGGGUGCUAACGUCCGUCGUGAAGAGGGAAACAACCCAGACCGCCAGCUAAGGUCCCAAAGUCAUGGUUAAGUGGGAAACGAUGUGGGAAGGCCCAGACAGCCAGGAUGUUGGCUUAGAAGCAGCCAUCAUUUAAAGAAAGCGUAAUAGCUCACUGGUCGAGUCGGCCUGCGCGGAAGAUGUAACGGGGCUAAACCAUGCACCGAAGCUGCGGCAGCGAACGUAUCACCCAAGACAACUUUACGGAGUUGACGAUUGACGGAGCGAAGCGACGUCAAAGCGUUCAUUAAAGUCGAGUUGGCUUAGGGAUACGUUCGUUGGGUAGGGGAGCGUUCUGUAAGCCUGUGAAGGUGUGUCGUGAGGCAUGCUGGAGGUAUCAGAAGUGCGAAUGCUGACAUAAGUAACGAUAAAGCGGGUGAAAAGCCCGCUCGCCGGAAGACCAAGGGUUCCUGUCCAACGUUAAUCGGGGCAGGGUGAGUCGACCCCUAAGGCGAGGCCGAAAGGCGUAGUCGAUGGGAAACGGGUUAAUAUUCCCGUACUUGGUGUUACUGCGAAGGGGGGACGGAGAAGGCUAUGUUGGCCGGGCGACGGUUGUCCCGGUUUAAGCGUGUAGGUGUGUGUUCCAGGUAAAUCCGGUUCACUUUAACACUGAGGCGUGACGACGAGGCACUACGGUGCUGAAGCAACAAAUGCCCUGCUUCCAGGAAAAGCCUCUAAGCAUCAGGUAACACGAAAUCGUACCCCAAACCGACACAGGUGGUCAGGUAGAGAAUACCAAGGCGCUUGAGAGAACUCGGGUGAAGGAACUAGGCAAAAUGGUGCCGUAACUUCGGGAGAAGGCACGCUGACACGUAGGUGAAGUGAUUUACUCAUGGAGCUGAAGUCAGUCGAAGAUACCAGCUGGCUGCAACUGUUUAUUAAAAACACAGCACUGUGCAAACACGAAAGUGGACGUAUACGGUGUGACGCCUGCCCGGUGCCGGAAGGUUAAUUGAUGGGGUCAGCGUAAGCGAAGCUCCUGAUCGAAGCCCCGGUAAACGGCGGCCGUAACUAUAACGGUCCUAAGGUAGCGAAAUUCCUUGUCGGGUAAGUUCCGACCUGCACGAAUGGCGUAAUGAUGGCCAGGCUGUCUCCACCCGAGACUCAGUGAAAUUGAACUCGCUGUGAAGAUGCAGUGUACCCGCGGCAAGACGGAAAGACCCCGUGAACCUUUACUAUAGCUUGACACUGAACAUUGAGCCUUGAUGUGUAGGAUAGGUGGGAGGCUUUGAAGUGUGGACGCCAGUCUGCAUGGAGCCGACCUUGAAAUACCACCCUUUAAUGUUUGAUGUUCUAACGUGGACCCGUAAUCCGGGUUGCGGACAGUGUCUGGUGGGUAGUUUGACUGGGGCGGUCUCCUCCUAAAGAGUAACGGAGGAGCACGAAGGUUGGCUAAUCCUGGUCGGACAUCAGGAGGUUAGUGCAAUGGCAUAAGCCAGCUUGACUGCGAGCGUGACGGCGCGAGCAGGUGCGAAAGCAGGUCAUAGUGAUCCGGUGGUUCUGAAUGGAAGGGCCAUCGCUCAACGGAUAAAAGGUACUCCGGGGAUAACAGGCUGAUACCGCCCAAGAGUUCAUAUCGACGGCGGUGUUUGGCACCUCGAUGUCGGCUCAUCACAUCCUGGGGCUGAAGUAGGUCCCAAGGGUAUGGCUGUUCGCCAUUUAAAGUGGUACGCGAGCUGGGUUUAGAACGUCGUGAGACAGUUCGGUCCCUAUCUGCCGUGGGCGCUGGAGAACUGAGGGGGGCUGCUCCUAGUACGAGAGGACCGGAGUGGACGCAUCACUGGUGUUCGGGUUGUCAUGCCAAUGGCACUGCCCGGUAGCUAAAUGCGGAAGAGAUAAGUGCUGAAAGCAUCUAAGCACGAAACUUGCCCCGAGAUGAGUUCUCCCUGAGACUUAGAGUCUCCUGAAGGAACGUUGAAGACGACGACGUUGAUAGGCCGGGUGUGUAAGCGCAGCGAUGCGUUGAGCUAACCGGUACUAAUGAACCGUGAGGCUUAACCUUACAACGCCGAAG
rnacentral:rRNA from 2 species